ACUGAAAAGAAGAGCAAAACCCUUGUAACCAAUAUGCAUGGUUAAGCAAAAUAAAUUUCUGUGUUGGCUGUGUCCAAAAAAUAAAUAUAUCAUUGCCAGGAGAUACCUUCUCCAGAUAAGCAGCACAACAAGACACACAGAGGCAGAUGAAGAGGCUCUUGGGAUCCUGGACCAUGGUGAUCUAAUUGUACCUAGACACGGUGGUUGCUAACUCACAAUGUGUGGGAAGGAGGUCAGUAUCACUGAACUUGGCUGGGACUUGUGCUCGAUUCACAACAAUGGAGACCACCCUGAAAUUCAAAGGAAGGGAAAAAGGACCUGGUGCUGCUCAUACAGAUGCGGGCUCUGCUGCCAGACACUGACAUAGACUCCAUCGAUGCUGUUCCAUUAGAUGCUGUUCAGCCGGACGCCUGAUCUCCAAUAUCUCCAGUUUCUAGCUCAGCUGGGAUCUGUGGCUAUCCCCUUCUCAAGGGAUGAGCACGUGCUCCCAUGAUUUUUAAAGUUUAAAUCAUAAGUUUGUAUACUUUUUUUCCCCUCCUGGCUGUUUUACAAAAGGUAGAAGCCUUGUCUGGAACAGUA